AGAUCACCCAGGAGGGUGUCCAGGAGGUUCCCAGGUGGGCGGUAACUAUGGAGAUGAUUGUUGUUAUGGCACAAGAGGCUAUGAUUGAGGUGGCUACAAGGACUGUGGAAGGGAUGACGGUGGGGACUUCUGAGGAAGCUGAUGGUGGGAGAGAGGCAGCUUCAGGCGUGGCAAGAUGCACGCCAGCGAUGAGCCAGACAGGAGAGGCGACAGUAGUCUGGCUCUGAGAUGCUGGGACAACUUUCCUUCCGUCACAACGAUUGAAAACAUAUCUGAGAAACAAACACAUAUACGAGAAAUCCCUGAAGGAAGAACAUCAAUAAAUAGGACAAUCCCUACUUCUGUUCAGACAACAAAGUAGCUUCCAAGAAAAGCAGGUAAGAC
rnacentral:lncRNA from 1 species